rnacentral:lncRNA from 10 species
CCCUGAUGUCCACUAAUGGAGAAAGAGAUGAAUGGCGAUAUAUGUACAUCUACAUGUGUAUCCGCAUUUCUCUGCAAUACAAAAGGAGCAAACCACUGCUAACACAGUGUGGACUCCCAGACCAUGACUGUGAGGGAAGAAGGCGGAAACGAGUGUGCAGCGUGCAAUUUCAUUUUUAUCGUAUUCUGGAAAUGACAACGUGUGUGAGCUGUGCAUAGUGACCUCCUUCCAGAGGGGACAGUGUGGAAAAGAGUAUCUGCACAGUGGAGAAAGCUGACCAACACAGCCUCAGCCAGGCCAUCAGGGCCGAUGUCCACAGUGACAAGUCAUGUUGAUGGCAGGUCCCUUGAAAUGAUGUGAUGAGAAUAACACUUGACUUCUGCAGUCUUUCUCCCUCAAACCUGCCACCCAGAUUUAAGCAUGAGAAAAACAGACAAAUUGCAGUUGAGGAUCAUUUUACAAAACACCUGAGCAAACACUUCUCAAAACUGUCGUGGUUAUCAAAAACAGAGUCUGAGAGACUGUCACAACCAAGAGGAGCUUAGGGAGACAGGAUGAUUAAAUGGGAUAUGGUAUGUUGGGUGGGAUCCUGGAAAC